UAUUUAACAGCUGUUUCAAACGCUGUUUCAGUCAUGGACAGAACUGUGCUGCUGGUCCUGUUGGGUCUGCAGGUUUUCCUGAUCAUCGCAUCCUUUACUUCAGCUAAUGCAGCCACUCUGGUGACAGAUCCUCAACAACUGCCUCCUUAUCCGGUGGGGAGUAGAAAUGACUACAACAGAGAGACAUUUGGAAACAGGCAUAAAAGACGUUCCAACUGUAGGGGGAGACCAGGAGCAUGUGGAUUGAUGGGACUUCCGGGGCCCCCUGCUCCUCCUUCUCCUCCCACCGGGGUUUGGAGAAAAAAAAAUGGACGGGCCAACAAGACAGCGUAGCAACAACCAGAGGAAUUCUUUCAGAAGGAUGGAUGGACAGAGGGAUGGGCAUGGUGAUAGAUAGUAAUAGAUUCAGUGAUUGAUAGUGCACUUAUUGAGCUACUUCCAAGGAAACUAACUCUGGUGAUUAUGUAACUGCUGCAUAACAUACCCACUAAUCUAAUGUUAUAUUCUGUUUGCAAAUGGCACUGUUAGUAAAUUGUUUAAAGCAAAGUCCAUUGGCUCAAUGCUCAAAUGCUAUUGCUGUCAACAGCUGCAUGGUUAAUAGUGAUAGAAUAGAAUUACUCACUGCUGUGCUGAAUAAAGUACUUACAGUACAUUGUUUCGCAGUAUGUGUUCCUCUACAAUCUAUACAUAUCACAAUAAAAUGUGUUACUGAUUAAAAACAAA